GCCGGGAUGGUGAAAUUGGUAGACACGCAUGCCUUAGGAGCAUGUUCCCGAAAGGGGUUGGAGGUUCGAGUCCUCUUCCCGGCA
rnacentral:tRNA from 1 species